AUUGAACUAGCGACAACACUUGGGAUUGAAGUGUUAAAUUGAAAAUGGCACUUUUCUGGCACUUUUUGAGUAAAAAAAGGUGAUAAAAUGUUAUUAGUGAGAAGUGAAGAUGAUUACAAAAAUAAAUCUUAUAUUGAGUCUGCGCUCCACUUCUCAUAUCCUAUCCACACUGGAUGUAAAACACGCAUGUGGCGCUGACUGGUGCGUUAACCAGUUUUUUAAAUAUAUAGCCCUUUCCAUCUGUUGAAAAUUGAGCAGGUGGUUUUU
rfam:Listeria monocytogenes FSL J1-194 cont3.4, whole genome shotgun sequence.